AUGGUUUUCACACCUGUGUGCUUUGAUUUUCCCAGGCUGUGGUCUGACACCUGUUUCCAAUAGUCUAAAGAACACCUUCUCUAGUCAAGCCUGGAAGCACUUCCAACCUCAGAUGCCCAUGAAAUGCCACUG
rnacentral:lncRNA from 1 species